rnacentral:rRNA from 1 species
UACGGAGGGAGCUAGCGUUGUUCGGAAUUACUGGGCGUAAAGCGCACGUAGGCGGCUUUGUAAGUUAGAGGUGAAAGCCCGGGGCUCAACCCCGGAAUUGCCUUUAAGACUGCAUCGCUUGAAUCCGGGAGAGGUGAGUGGAAUUCCGAGUGUAGAGGUGAAAUUCGUAGAUAUUCGGAAGAACACCGGUGGCGAAGGCGGCGCUCUGGACCGAGACUGACGCUGAGGCGCGAAAGCGUGGGGAGCAAACAGG